rnacentral:tmRNA from 1 species
GGGGGUGUUUUGGCUUCGACGGGAUCCAAGAGAUUCUGGUAAGCACGUCGAGGGUUUCGCAGGCCUCGUAAAAAAGCGAAAAA